AUUAUCACGCUGUAACAUGAGACCGUGUAUUAUCACGCUGUAACAUGAGGUCGUGUAUUAUCAGUCUGUAACAUGAGACCGUGUAUUAUCACGCUGUAACAUGAGACCGUGUAUUAUCACGCUGUAACAUGAGACCGUGUAUUAUCACGCUGUAACAUGAGGUCGUGUAUUAUCAGUCUAUAACAUGAGGCCGUGUAUUAUCACGCUGUAACAUGAGGUGAUGGUCGUGGAUGAAUGUCACAACAAUGGGUCUCAGGAUCUCUGCAUUCAAAAUGCCAUCAAUAAAAUGCACCUACACACAGAUACACACACACACACACACACACACACAC